CCUCAGGAGUCAAGACAGAGAAGUGGACAUACAACAUCCGGUAUCCCUCCAGUGAUGAGGAGGAAGACUCCGCAGGCCACCUUUUAAUGAUCCUAGCUCUGGUGCAUGCGGAGGAAGGGUUCUCAGAUGAAGACUGGACCACCACCUUGCAUGGUCUAGUUCUCAGGCUGUGAAGACUCA